GGCGCAGGCGGUUUUUCAAGUCGGGUGUAAAAUCUCCCCGCUCAACGGGGAGGGAUCGCCCGAUACUGUUGAGCUAGAGGGCAUCAGAGGGAGGCGGAAUUCCCGGUGUAGUGGUGAAAUACGUAGAUAUCGGGAGGAACACCAGUGGCGAAGGCGGCCUCCUAGGAUGUUUCUGACGCUGAGGUCCGAAAGCGUGGGGAGCGAACA
rnacentral:rRNA from 1 species